UACGGAGGGUGCAAGCGUUGUUCGGAAUCACUGGGCGUAAAGGGCGUGUAGGCGGUCCGCUAAGUCUGAUGUGAAAGCCCGAGGCUUACCCUCGGAAGUGCAUUGGAGACUGGCGGACUGGAGUCCCGGAGAGGAGGGUGGAAUUCCUAGUGUAGCGGUGAAAUGCGUAGAGAUUAGGAAGAACACCAGUGGCGAAGGCGGCUUUCUGGACUGUAACUGACGCUGAGGCAUGAAAGCGUGGGGAGCAAACAGG
rnacentral:rRNA from 1 species